CAAGACACUUACUUCACAUCUUUUGUGCGCGUUUGCUGUCCUAACUUUUGGGAACUUGUAAAACUCAAGACUACAUUUGAAAGUCUUAUCUUGGCCUUGAUUCCCAUAAAUCUUUGUCUAGUCUUGGUCUGGGACUGGCUGGACUCUGGAUUUUCCAUUUAGACUCUUUGAAACCAUCAUUCAUCUCCUAUUUCUUCAACUUUAUUAAUUUGGUAAUUGGAGAAGCACUUGCUAAAACAACACAUGCCUUCAAUUCGGAUGUUAUGAGGCCCCCACCAACAACGUCAUGACUGCAACCAACAAGGAGGUUUUUUUUCAUAGACAGGGCAUUAUUAUAAUACCACACAUGCAUGUUGAAGACAAAAUUGUUCAAUCUUCAUCUUUCUAAAAUGCUACCAGAUGAAUGAAUGAAUGUUAAAUACAUACGAGCUCUGAUUUUUUGUGGGUUUUGGAUGCAAAAAAAAGAAUUCUGAUUUACCGUAUUUUCCGCACUAAAAGGUGCACCUAAAAGUCUUCCAUUUUCUUAAAAGCUCACAGCGCGCCUUAAAAUCCGGUACUCCUUAUGUAUGGUCAUUACAGUAAUAUGUCAAGCCCAAAAUGGCUCUUUGCUGGAGAUAUGCAAUAGAACACGGAAAUAGAACAGCGGAAAAGAGUUCAAUGUUAACAAGUCAAUGUAAUAACUUGCUGUUGGUUCAGUGAACUGUGUCGCUGCUUUAUUAAACAAGUUUUGUUGCAGCUCCGAAAAAAAGGAGAUCCGUGGUGUUGUUUUUUUUAAACACACACUUUAUUAAUGGUUUUCACAGUCUCAACAAAUACAGGUACGUCUUUGUCCGUCCGUUUCUGUGCCUUCUCUUCUUCCAUUCGACUCGAGAGGCGUUCAUGACCGCCUCCGAAAAACAUAAAUUAACGAUUACUUCAAUGAAACUACGAAAAUUGAAAAUAAUCCAUCAAAACAGAAAAUCAAGCGAGGAAAUCACAAAAUUCUAUAUCCCGCCCUACAGAAUUUUUGUGAUUUUCUCGUUUGUGAAUACAUAAAGGAAUACAGUGAAACUCCUCUACAACGAAAUCAUGUUUGCAGCAAGAAAUUUUUCAUAACAGGGUUUUUCACUGUAGCAAAUUUGAUCUCGGAUGUAAGCACACACACAAACGUAAGUUUACAUGCGCACACAAAUGUAUGUGUAAUCUAUUUUUAUUCCAAUAGUGCAUAAGUAUGAGCACACACUUAUUUGACACUUCAUAUUGUCAGUGUAGAAAGGGGAAAGAAAUUGUGAAAUGUACGAUCAGCAUUCACUUUCACUUACAUCAAUUUCUUGGAUAAUGUAUUUUAUUUUGUUUGCUUCGUCUUUCAUGUUGAUCACUUUUACCCUCUCUUCCAGCAUCAGAGCUCUGUCUUAACUGCUUGACAUCAAAAGGUCCGUUUUGUAGCCAUUUUAGCAAUGCAACGUCCAUCCUCGUCUGAACAUCGUUCACUCCGUAAACCAGUGUGGUGAUUGCUGUUGCCGUUUCCGAACGAACCAAUAGAGGUCGCUGUUGGAUAAGACUUCGUUGUAGUGAAUGUCAUCGCGAGGCUGGAGCAGAGAAAAUGAUAUCGUAUAACGCAACAGGGGAGUUUUCGUCGUAUGGGGGCAGGAGAAUGGGAAUUGUGUUAAUGAUUUUUUUCACAUAUGGGAGUAUUUUCGCACAUGUAGGUUUCGUUCUAGAAGAGUUUCACUGUAAAUAAACACUUCUGAGGCAGUCCAGUCUCCUACAUUUUACUGACGUAUGAUCCUUCUGUUGCAUUUCCUUGAUCGUAGCUCCAUCUAGUGGAUGCUUUGUAGAUUGCGUUUUACAACCGCUGCGUCCAAUAUAUGAAGAAAAAAAAGACAAAAUAGGCCAUUCAUUGAAUAUGCGCCUAAUAAUCCAGUGCCGCUUUUAGUGUGGAAAAUACGGUAAAAUUUUUGCAAGUAGAUUUGCAGA